UGGGGAAUCUUGCACAAUGGGCGAAAGCCUGAUGCAGCAACGCCGCGUGCGGGAAGACAGCCCUAGGGUUGUAAACCGCUUUCAGCAGGGAAGAAACUGACGGUACCUGCAGAAGAAGAUGCGGCCAACUACGUGCCAGCAGCCGCGGUGACACGUAGGCAUCAAGCGUUAUCCGGAUUUAUUGGGCGUAAAGAGCUCGUAGGCGGUUCGGUAAGUCGGGUGUGAAACUCUGGGCUCAACCCAGAGAGGCCACUCGAUACUGCUGUGACUAGAGUGCGGUAGGGGAGCGGGGAAUUCCGUGGUGUAGCGGUGAAAUGCGCAGAUAUCAGGAGGAACACCAGUGGCGAAGGCGCCGCUCUGGGCCGUAACUGACGCUGAGGAGCGAAAGCAU
rnacentral:rRNA from 1 species